AGGGUGUCACUCAACACAAUUGUAAAUUUUCGAUUUAAUGAUUAAAUGAUUAGUUUAAAAAACCCUCAAGUCCUUCCGGCUACACCUCACUUGUACUAGGUUCACUACCAGUCACCCAGGAACUUCAAACCCUCACAUCAGGAAAGACAAAUAGUACACAGGAUAAAUUCAGAACAUAUUAUUUAAAAAACGUAUAAAAAGAGGACCUUCUUAUGGCAGGGGCUACACCUAACAUGUGUGGGACAGACUCUUUGUCCCAGAACUUAAAACCCUUCACAUCCACCUGCCACUACAUUCAACACAUAUAAGAACAUUUUGGAUAAGCUUUAUUCAAUCACUUCCUCAACAGCAAACCAAGGACCAUUGCCCAGAGCUGGAUUCAGUGUCCUCUGGGGUCACUUCCAUCAAAGGCAUCAUUCCGGUUGCCCAUCUGCUCCGUUAUCAAUCUCUCCAGAACCCUGGAAAUGAGACCUCUCGCACACGGGACCAAACAACAACCACACAACACAAACACAAUCAUACAGGUGAAAGCAGCCCAUAACAACACUUUUCCAUUUCCCAAACAUGAGCUGUGUUAUCAGGAAUGUACGUGCAGCAAUGAACCUAAUCAAUCUACCUACACCAUCCUCUUUUGCCAGUAACAUAUCGAGAGUCAGUCUAUUUUACCAGGUCAUGAGGGAGGUGGUGGAUAAUUGGUCAGAGAACCUCUUUACUGCAUCCCCGGUUUCAUUCAUGAAUCUCUGUUGAUUAUAAAAGAUGUCAUUAAUCCCAUCCACAUUUUUAUUUAUUGUCAACUACCAUAAUAAUGUAGUGUUAAAGCCUUCACAUAUUUGAUUCAUAGCUUUGUAUUCAUCUGGAACUUCCCUGUGGAUGCCAAUAGCAUCCAUCUAGACAAAGCUACUCCCAUCCUGGUCAAAACUCCUCCUGUGUCUACUUUAGCCUCCUAUAACUGGCCUCUGAUGACUAACUUGAACUGGUUGGACCAAUAAACCCGGGGCGCAAGCUCCUAACCACCCUUUGUGGUAAUUUCUGUCGUAUGCGUCCUUUGCUGGUACUAGCCCACCCAACAUCAGUUAUAGGUGCUGUGAGGUUAAGCAUUUUCUAUUCAUCUUUCAAACCUAAGUCAGUCACAUUAACAAUUACUUUCCAGCUAUUAAAAUCAUCCAAGUUCUCGGUGCCAUUCUUGUAUCUAUAACACUGGUACUCAUCAGGAGUUAAGGUGAACCUAGGUGGGUUGGCCGAGUACCUCAAUCUGACCCACCCAGUCCCUGUACAGUUGUCUGCUUUCCUAGGAAGUUGUUUAAUGUUUACCUUAAAUCCUACAUCUUGAUCUUCUUUGACUCCUUAUUAUGUAAGUCACUCAUCAGUGUAUUAUAUAGUUUAUCUUUUACUUCUUCUCGAUGACAACGGUAUCGUUUGAUUAGUACCGGAAUCUGGUGGAUCUGAAUGUAUCAGAAAGAUUAGACUAUGAUGCAGCUCAGAGUCUCUACUCUUCCCAAAAACCGCCAACCCUCUCCUGCCCUUAGUCUCUCUGCUUGGUACCACCCCAUACUCACACCUCUAGGAGCACACACAGUGAUGAACGGUCGGGAUAGGGAAUCUUCGUUAAGGAGGUGACCCCCGGACCCUGUUGGUACUCGGUUCUUCUCCUAACUCUGUGUGUGAUCAGCAGUGCUCAUAUGUGUACAUACCUUCUUGCAGUGGGUAACGUGGACCCAAGUGACUCUCUCAGCUUUUCUAAUGGCAAAGGCAGUGGUUUAACAGAACCUGGUAUGGGCCUUCCCCACGGGGCUGCUUCCUGUCUUUUCUCCUCAGGGACUGGAUCCACACCCAGUCUCCUGGUUGGAUUGAGUGAAUCACCUUCUCCUGUAAUUCACCUGUUGGACACAAAAUCUUGGACAUACGGGUUUGGUUAACAAACAGUCUUCUCAUGUGCUCUGCUAGUAUAUCUUUAACUUCUAUGUCUACCUGUUCCGGUAUCUCUAACUCUGGUAUUCUAUAGGCUCUACCUGAUUAUCUAAAAUGUCAUCCAUCAUUUAAAGAGAUAGAUAAUAGUAAACCAACACUAGGGAUAAUAUCUUGACCUCAUUUUUUUUUUACCAUAAUCAUGUCCACCAAGUAAGUUGGGAACGCUUCUACCCAUUUGCUAUGCUUAUCUGUUAUUGUUAAACACCCCUUCUUCCCCUCAAUUCGGAAUAGUUCAAUAAGUCCAUUUCCAAAUGUUGGAAUGGAUAUUCUACAAAAAAAUAAUUUGUUUAAGUAAUAUGUUCUUGUUUAAGUAAUUAUCCUAACCUGUUCUAUUGCCUGCUCUACCAUACUCCCCCUAUUUAUACAUGGCUCAAGCCAUGUAUCAAUUUUGCUGCAUAUCUAGACAGUGUCUUUGGUAAGGUUAUUAAAUUAUCCUUAUGUCCGCCCUUCUCUUGUAGGAUUGCCCCCUUGUCACGUCCUGGCCAGUAUAAGGUCAAUUGGUAUUGUAGUUUGGUCAGGACGUGGCAGAGGGUAUUCGUUUUAUGUGGUUCGGGGUGGUGUGUUUGUUGAAGGGGCAUUUGAUUUAAGUAUUCCGGGGUUUUUGGGCACUGUUUGGUUUUCAGGUAUUCUAUGUUUAGUCUAGUAUGUCUGUUUCUAUGUUUGGUUAAUUGGGGUUGGGACUCUCAGUUGAAGGCAGGUGUUGUCUAUCUGCCUUUGAUUGAGAGUCCCAUAUAUUAGGUGUGUUUGUUAUUUGUGGGAGAUUGUUCUGUGUUGAGCCUUAUGCUUUGCAGACUGUCAGUCGAUCGUUAUUUCUGUUUGUUAUUUUGGUGUUCAUUUUGUAUUCAUUAAAACGUCGAGAUGAGCAUUCACAUACCUGCUGCGUUUUGGUCCUCUUUAACCGACGACAAGCGUGACACCCCUUUCAUUUUCCACAUGUCCAAUUCUCCCUGGGGCAUUCAUCCUUAGCUACCCUGUAACAAUUCUCUGUCAAGUGUCUUAUCUGCUUUAAGAUUUAACUACUUCCAACAAAAUUAUCAUAUAUUUUCCUAGCGAAUUUUACCAAAACAUAACUUAAAAUCAAAACUAAAAUACAUGCCUAUGGAGCCGAUAGUCUCUCCAUGAAUUAAUAUCCUAAAGUUAAGCGAUCCAAACUAAAUUCUCUUCCUAUCUUCUAUUCUUAUUAUGUCUUUUCUGUCUGUCCCAGUAUUAUUUCUGUCCUCACCUGUUUAUAAUUUAACUAUGCUGGUCUCCACUCACUAACCGUUAUCUAAUUCUUCUGUGUCUCUUUUAUCUUCUCUUCCUUGCUUAUGCUCUCCUCCUGCUACUUCCAACCCAUCAAGGUCUCAGCAGUGCAGGGGAGGACUUCUCCGUCUGCUGUCUUAUUCCAUAGCUACUUAAAUUUACACUACCCUUGGAUAAAAUAUUUUACUUCCAAUCUAUGAAACCCCAUAUUUUAACGUACUAUUUGACUAAUUUGACCCAAGAUUGCUUAAAAACCCCUUCAGUUUGUCUGCAAACCGGCCCAUUCUGUUUGCUAGGAAUACCCUGCCAUUAUACACAACUGUGUUUAAUGUGCACCGUCCCUGUAAAAAAAUAAAAUUAACUCCACCUGCAAUUCACUUUAAUGACUUGAUAUUUUUCCAUGCAAUGUUCAAUUCACCGGUGUUACUAAACAAUCAAUACCACGACUCAAUAACCAGAAUUUAUCACAGAACUUUUACAAUUCCAUUAUUCAGACCAGAAUCGCUUCCAGCCACAUACUCAUAGGAAAAAAUAUUACCUCUUUUCUAACAGCGUUCUGCCUUUCCUCUAUCGCAAGAUUAAAACCAAUGUUACAACUGUAUCUCUCAUUUCGGCUCCACAUACCUUAUGCAUCUUUCUUACCAUUAGUCCCAACUUUAACCCAUCCAAACUUCCAUCAAAUUCAUACUUCCUUCUCCACCUUGGACCGAAAUAAAUAUUUAUUUUAUAUCAUUUAACUCCAUGUAUCGCUCAUCUCCCGUUAAUUCCUGCACCUCCUUUAAGGUGUUUGUUAAAAUUACUAUCGUAGUUAUUCUGCUCCUUUUCCCACUCUAGAAUUUUUAGAAGGAGUAUUCGUAUGAAUCUUAAAUUAUAUUUUAUUCUAUGUGUUGUUUUUUUUGUUGGUCAAACCCUAACAAUCUAAAUGCAAAUAAAUACCUGCAAUCUUCCGCCAGGGGUACACUAAAAAAAUGCUCCACACAAGUCAAUCACGGUAAAGUAUUUGGCAUCAUGGGGAACAUUAGUCAACAGUGUGUGAGGGUUUGGACCUUCCGCAGGGCAAUCCUGUGCAAUAUCCCUUCUUCGUCUUCAGGCUUCAUAGGAUACUGGGCUGAUCCAUGGGGGUUUAGCAUCCGGGUUUAACUUUGAUGUUCACAGGACUUGCUGAUUUUACUAGCCCAACAUCUGUAUCAUGUUGUGACCAUACCUCUGGUGGUAUGAUGUUUUCCAUUUCUUCUCUAAGUUCACUGAUCAAAUCCCAUUCCUUCACCCAACACUACCUGUUGGCCUGCACUGACCUCUAUUUCCCUAGGAACACCAGUCAUCAUUGUAGUGUUUAUUAUCUUGAUAAAUGCCUUAUCUUCUGAAUGGGAAAAAAUCAACGGAUUGUCUGUUUCAUCCCAUCUCUUUCUCUUAGCUUUCUUCAUCAUAGGUUCCUAGAUCCCUUGAUGUGAACUCCUGAUUUACCAGCGAUGUGAUGUGAGGGACAGAGUCGGAGACGUUGAACCAUUUUUUGCACAAAUUCAGAUCCGUCUCCGUCCAUCACAUCCAUGGCCGCUCCCUGUUUCUCCAAUGAUGACAUACUGAGACAUCAUUGGUGCUUUCCUAGCAUUUGCCCCCAUAGUCCAUAGUUGCUCUAACACGGGAUCCUGAUGAGGGUCAUAUUGCAUUGUGCAGUGAUAUUCAGAUUUUGCUCCCCUCGCUGCUUUAAGCAUUUGGGCUCGAAUGAAUCUGCCCCAUCUGCUUACAGUUCUGUCUAUAUCUGCCUCAAUGCCUCCCGACCAAUAUACGUUAGCUGUUUCUCCUGUAGCUAUCACUGGUAAUUGUAGUCCUAUUCUUUCUAUUAAUACCCCCUCGGGAGAACAUUUAAUUUGCAUUCCCAUUUUGCAUAGAGCAUCCCUUCCUAGCAGAUUAACGGGUCUUUGAUCCGAUACUAAUAUUGGAAUUGUGGCUGAUUUAUCAUCAGCAGUCAGACGAAUUGGAGCAGUCAUUGGAAUUAGCUGCGUAUUUCCCGAGAAUCCUAUUGUUUUGGCAUAUUUACCGGACAUGGGGAGAUGAGAGGCGUAAUUUGAACUUACACAUGUGUAAGUGGCUCCAGUAUUUAUCAUCAUGGGUGUGCCUCUGUUCUCUAUUUGAACCUGCAGCAUAGGUUCUUGGUCAGCUCUUGUGGUUAUCACUGGGAACUGACCCUCCCCUGUAGGAUUCUCUGGGCAUCCCUAGUAUGUUUGGUUAGGCCCUGACCAUGGGUUCACAGGGCCCGAAGGUUGGCUUUGGUUGCCGGGCCAUCCACCAUUCCCGUUUGUAUGCGGCUGCCAGCCACCUGGAUUGUUGUUUGUUGGUGGCCGCCUGUUGUUUGUGUUUCCUCCAGUCAGAUCCUGCCAGGGGUUUGUAGGGCAUUCUCGUCUGGAGUGUCCUGAUUGGUGGCAACCCCAACAGACACCAGGUGGCCCCCUAGGGUUCCUGGGUCCCUUUCUCUGAUCUGCCUGUGUAUUUUUCUGUUGUUUAUUUCCACCAUUCCAAUUAGGGGGCUGUGUGUAUACAUUUACUACUAGCAGUACGGUAGGCAUUUGGGCCCGCCUGGGGGUUGACGGUUGCGGCCCUCCUGGGGAAACGGCAGACAUUGUUCCUACCUCGGGCACAGGGGUGGUUACUGAGGCAUGGACUUUCUUCUUUCCUUUGUUGGUUAAUUCAUCCAGCUGCAACUGGGCCAGCUUUCUCUGAAUGUCUUUUCCUUGUUCAAUCUGUCUCUGUUCGUCCUUCCUGUGUUUUUCCACGGCAUGAAUCACAUAGUCACAGAACUCUUUGUAAGGUUUUGAAGUAAGCCCCACCACAUCCUCCAGUCUGUUCCUUACCGGCUCGGGCAUGGCUUCCAUCACAGAAGUUCGGAACAUUGCUGUCAUUAGUUCAUUUCCUUCUGGAUCUUGUUCUGUUUCCAUUCUCCAUCUUUCCAAAUGUCCAUGUAAGUACGUGGCCGGGUUUUCUGUAGCUCCAAUAGCUUCACCUCUCAGAGCUUUGAGGUCAAACUUCGUUGGGUAUGCUGCCCUUAAUGCACGCCAGACGGCAGCUCUAUACCUGUCGAACAUCAGUCCAUCCUUCGUCACCUCCCAAUCUGUGCCGUUGAUCGCACCAUCCUGCAUGAUUUCUCUCAGUUUCUGCACGCUCGUCACCCUCCCUAGCAAUGCCUUUAUGUCACCCACCACCAGCAAUUUCCCCAUCGUGUAUUCUUCAAAGGUUCUGAUCCACUUCCCUGCUCCCUCAUGGAGAUCUGGCAAGCGGAAAACCAACCCCUCCAUGUCCUGUGCAGCCCAUGGUAUAUAGUGUCCUUGCUCUCCUUUUAUCAGGAUCUGCCACUGUUUUUCAUAAUAACCAGAUUCUUUCCUAGACCCAUUCCUACGAGCCCUGCAAUAUUUCCCUGCAGGCUCAUUUCUCAGGCUCUCAUUCAUACUACGGGCCAAGGCCUCAUCCUGUCUUUCUUGCCUUCUUAUGUUUUCUUCGUGUGUUGAUUUUGACCGUCCCAGUUUCUCUUCUAUUCUUUGUGCCACUAUUUGUCCUUCUCUCUCUAUUUGUCCCCUACAGGAUGGAUCAUUCUCUUCCUCUUCCUCUUCCGCCUCGCUCGGACUAUUACCUGAUGCCCAUUCUGCUAGUGUGUUUUGGCUUUUCCUGGAGUUGCCCUCCGUUUGGUCUUUUGUUAUUUUUGUUUGCAGCUCUGACGUCUCCCUUUCUCCUAUUUCCGUUUCCAUUGCUGUUAGGGCUUUCCUCAGGCCACUAUAGCAAUCGAAACCUUCUUCUUUUGUUCCUAUAUGCUUCAUAGUUCUUUUCUUGCCUUGUUCUGUUGAAUGUGAAGGUGCACACGUUGCUCUAGGUGUGGUGAUCCCUUCCUUUUCUUCCGUCACUUCCACUUCCCCUUUUAUUUCCACGUGUCCAGUUAUCAUGGGAAACUGUCCAUCGGAAUACGGCGGGGGGCUGGUCCCCCACUCCGUUUUCUCUUUGCUUGUGUUAUCGUUCUUCUUUAGUACUUCUCUUGCUGUCUUCAUGCUUUGUAACAAACCCACUCUUUCUUCCUUAAACAUUUUUAGUAUUUCGUUUUCUCUUUCUCGUUUAUUUUUCCUUUUUUGUUUCUUGUCCUUGGGUUUAUAGUUCUUUAUCAGCGUUUCCAUUUCCUCACACACAGUGACAUCCAACGUUCCCACUGCGGGCCAUUUGGUGUUUAAUUUUCUGGUGCGUUUUUCCCAUUUUAUAGACGUUUUUAUUAUUUCUUUUUUACUUAGGGGGUAUCUAGUCCCCAAAAUCUCUACCGGUGUCCUAUUCAUUUUAAUGAUGGUCUAUAGUUUAGCCUUAACUUGUUAAAUCCUCCUUGAUAUUUUUUUUCCUUUUGUUUUUAAUUCUUUGUAAUGUCUAUCCUUCUCAUUUAUAUUUAUUCACUCACUUUAUCCUAUCCUUAUUAUUACUUAUUGUUUUGCUCCUGUUUCACUCUAUUUAUUCUCAGUCCUAGGUCCUACUUUACCAGAUUUCUCCAGACCCCCCCCCCUCUCUCUCUCUCUCUCUCUCUGUCUCUCUCUCUGUCUCUCUCUCUCUCUCUCUCUCCUAUUGUAAUCUGACUCUUCUCGUCCUUUCCCAGGCUGCAGCUCCAUUAGGGUCCUGCAGCUUCAAAGUGUUUAGUUGGCCACUGCUUCCCCCAUACUGUCCUUUAUGGUGCAGUAAUAUCUCUAGUAGGUUCUAUAGACCUAUACCAUGAUGCUGUUCUCUAUGUAUUUGUUGAUACUAUUUAUUCUAAAUAGCCUGAGUUAAUUGUUUUUACCAUAUAGUAUAUAUAUCUUAUGCCUUAUCUGUAGGUUUUAAUCGCUCUACUUCACACACCAGUAUAUACUAUAUGUGGCUUAUUUAAUACUUUAUUCAACAAGUUCUAUGCAUUCCAGAAUAGUUAUUUAACACCUGUAUUAUGUAAAUGUUCUACCUUUUCAUAGUUUCCUUUUAAUCAAUAUCCUUUCAUUUAUUUUUUUCUUCCCAGCAUGCUCUAUACGCAAUCCUUUUCCUAUUACACUCGAUCUAUUGUCACAGAAAGGCUUGCGCAUUCCUCCUCCGGACCGACCGACACACACACACACAAUCUUUAUUUCUCCCUGCCCUGUUUCACUCCCACUCCAGAGAAACUUUCACUCAUUCAAGGCCUUUAUUUUUCACUCAUUCAGAUUACCGACCCCGUUAGCUAGACGGAGCGUUUUAUCUGUAGGUGGUGAACCUAAUCGGGUCGACGUUUUCCUGCUCUCUAACUAUUCACCCAGACCGACCCCCAUCUUGGGGCGAUAUUGUGAAUUUACUUAUUUAUUUGUUUUGCCCGAUCAGCGCAGGCGCAAGCCCCCUCCGCUAAACACCCGACACCAGCAAAGUUCACAGUUUACCACACUUUUUUUAGCCCUCACAGAUGUACAUAUUUAAUUACAUUUAACAACCCCCCAAAAUUCAUGGAUGCAUGCAGUUCUAUUGAAUUCAAAAGCUCUUAGUAUUUCUGUGUUUUUAGGAGUUUUUAAAGAGAGACCUACGUGACGUCCCCUCCGCUGAGACAGAAUCCCUGAAGCAAUCUACACAAACAUUUCAAACUAUCGUAAGAACAAGCUUACCUGUUUAUAGUUGGGUGGCCACCCGUUUGUGAGAUUGUCCAGAGAAACCGUCACCAGCCAAGAACGACACUGUCCGAGGUCUCUUCGAUCUCCUGGCAAGCUCGCCAAAUAUGUAGUGGAAAAUUGUCUUAAGAAUAUAAUACUCUUGCAAGAACUUUGUGAAUUCAAUAUAGACUUUAAUACAGAGUAGCCAAAGCCGAGCCCUUCCAUGGAAGGACCCUAUUACACACGCAACAGGGCCGAGCCCUUCCAUUGAAAAAGACUAAAUUCUCAUAUUACAGUCCUCUCUUUAUAGGAUUCUGUCUUUGCUUAACGUAUAGAGUCCCUUCCUCUCUAUAUGAAAAU
rnacentral:lncRNA from 1 species